UACGUAGGGCGCAAGCGUUUAUCCGGAAUUAUUGGGGCGUAAAGAGCUCGUAGGCGGUUUGUCGCGUCUGCCGUGAAAGUCCGGGGCUCAACUCCGGAUCUGCGGUGGGUACGGGCAGACUAGAGUGAUGUAGGGGAGACUGGAAUUCCUGAUGUAGCGGUGAAAUGCGCAGAUAUCAGGAGGAACACCGAUGGCGAAGGCAGGUCUCUGGGCAUUAACUGACGCUGAGGAGCGAAAGCAUGGGGGAGCGAACAGG
rnacentral:rRNA from 1 species